rnacentral:hammerhead_ribozyme from 1 species
AUCCAGCUGAGGAGUUCAAAAUAGGACGAAACGCGCGUCCUGGAU